ensembl:lncRNA
GAAGCAGGCUCCUAGCGGAGGAGCCUGAUGUGGGGCUCGAUCCCAGAACGCUGGGAUCAUGCCCUGAGCCGCCCUGAGCCGAAGGCAGACGCUUAAUGAUUGCGCCACCUAGGCGCCCCAAUACACCCUAAAUUGUAUCAUGCUUCCUGCCGAAGUAAGCCCGGAAUGGAUCCGGGGGCGGGGGUGGGGGGUCUCCUCCCACCCCGGGGUCUUAGUAAGGCAGCUCAGGCGGUAAAGGAGCGGGGCGCCCUGAAGCAAGUUCCAGUCAACAUGGGGUAAUUGUGGGAUAGUCUCAAGAAUAUCUUGAGAAAAGAAGGGGGAGAGCCUGCUGCUGAGUGAUGUCAGAACGUCCGUGCCAGGCCAGGAAAAUCUGAGCUGGAAUCUUGACAAAGUGAAUCCUUACACGAGGUGCUCAGGGUGCGUGUGCACACACACCUGUGCUCUCUGCCACACAGGACUGAAGUGUGGGAGCCGUGCCGAUGAUGUGAAAAGUACAGAAACUGUCCUGGAAACUGGGUUCUUCCCUAGAAUUUCUGGUUGGAGAAAUUCACCAGUCGGUGGACAUCCGUGGCAGGUCUCCCUAAAAUGAGGUGAUCACCACUUCUGUGGAGGAAGCUUGAUCCAAGAGGAUCUGGUUGUUACCGCAGCGCACUGCCUGGCUGGCCUCAGUGAGAAGCAAAUUAAGAGUCUGACUGUGAUUGCUGGGCAUGACAGCCUCUCUCAGAAGGGUGAGCACGAACAGAAGAGUCCUGUCUCAAAAAUUAUUAACCAUCCUGAGUACAAUAGACUUGGAUAUGAGUUCUGAUAUUGCACUGCUCUAUCUAAAACACAAAAUUGAGUUUGGAACUGCUGUUCAGCCAAUCAGUCUUCCCCAUAAGGAUGAUAAGUUUGAAGCAGGGAUUCUAUACAUGACCAGUGGAUGGUGCAUGAUCUCAGAGAGUAAGAGGCAUCAAAAGGGUAUAAUAAUAGUUCUUCUAGGUUUCUUUGCCCAUGAGAAGCAGGAAUUUUAUUGGCCACAAGUAAUACAUUUAUCCUAUUUUGUUUUUACUUUUUUCCCCUGAGUUAUGAUGCAGUGAGAAUUUCUGGUUGUCUUCCCCGUAAAAAUGACUACACUUAAGGCUGUACGUAAAACUUCUGGUGCCCAUUUUGGUGAGGUGUGUCAGAAAAGGCGAACGAGCAGUAACUAUGACAGAUGAAGAAGAAUACAGUAAAGGGGUCAUCAGGAAGUAGCAACAAUCGUUCAGCUUCUUUGUCUUUCAUGUUGUGAUUUUUUACAGUAAAGAAUUUCACAAAACACUGCUUCAUUGAUUCAAGGUUUCCCUCUUGGGGAAACUUCAGUGAGGACAGUGGUUGACUAACUUAUCAGACUGUCUCCACAGCAUCAGAACAUUCAGACAUCCUACAAGUAGUAGAACUUCCCAUCGUGGAUAACAGAAUGUGUAACAGUGUGCCCAAGGGUAUCGACUUUCCUCUCCUGGAAAGGACCGUGAUGUGUGCCAGUUUUCCUGAUGGAGAAGAGAAUGCCUGCCAGGUCAAAAGCAUCGAACAGCUUUUGAUCAACCAUCAAUUCAGUAUCAUGUAGAUGAUAGUUUAUUCCGCCUUUCCCCAGGAGCUGCUUUUGCAGGAUUACUGCUUGAAAAUUCUUUUUUUGUUCGUCUUUCUACCAUGCUUCUACUGAAAAAGUU